AUCCCAGCCAAACCAUUUUUGUGUUUUUCUGAUUCAUGGGAGGCAGAAAUUACAUGGUUAUUCGUUGAUAGCAUAUCUUCUCAUUCAAUGGGUUUGCUUUGCUUAGUACAUAACCGCAUAUUU